rnacentral:lncRNA from 11 species
AAUCUCCAACAGCGUGUGGAAGAAUGAGGACGUACUCCAUCAAGGACUCGGUGUCACAUGUGGACUGUGAAGCGGCAGCUCCCCCUGUGGCCAGAAUUGAGCAUACCCUCAUGAAGCUGCGUUCGAGAAGGACACCAUGGUUGAUGGUAUCAGAAGCUGAGAGUUCCAGAAGCACCAACAGGGACACAUUGUUAGGAGUUGAUUUCUUCUGUCUCGGAAGUUCAUCAGAAAUCUUCUCCGUGACAUCUCGAUGCAGAGCCGGCCCAAGGACACUGAAGUCCUCUGCCAGGUGGCUAAUCCGACCAGCAAGAACCCGACUGGCAACUGUCUCCCAAAAGAGUUUUUCAUCAGCUGUGGAAGAAAAACAACUCAACUGGAAUGACCUUACAGAAAAGAUUUGACAGCUAAAUUAAAGACCU